rnacentral:rRNA from 1 species
AACGAACGCUGGCGGCAUGCCUAACACAUGCAAGUCGAACGAGACCUUCGGGUCUAGUGGCGCACGGGUGCGUAACGCGUGGGAACCUGCCCUUAGGUUCGGAAUCACUCAGAGAAAUUUGAGCUAAUACCGGAUGAUGUCUUCGGACCAAAGAUUUAUCGCCUUUGGAUGGGCCCGCGUUGGAUUAGCUAGUUGGUGGGGUAAAGGCCUACCAAGGCGACGAUCCAUAGCUGGUCUGAGAGGAUGAUCAGCCACACUGGGACUGAGACACGGCCCAGACUCCUGCGGGAGGCGGCAGUGGGGAAUAUUGGACAAUGGACGAAAGCCUGAGCCAGCAAGGCCGCGUGAGGGAUGAAGGCCUUAGGGAUGUAAAGCUCUUUUACCCGAGAUGAUAAUGACAGUAACGGGAGAAUAAGCUCCGGCUAACUCCGUG